rnacentral:rRNA from 1 species
AACGAACGCUGGCGGCAGGCUUAACACAUGCAAGUCGAACGGGUGUAGCAAUACAUCAGUGGCAGACGGGUGAGUAAUGUAUCGGAACGUGCCCAGUAGCGGGGGAUAACUACUCGAAAGAGUAGCUAAUACCGCAUACGCCCUACGGGGGAAAGGGGGGGAUCGCAAGACCUCUCACUAUUGGAGCGGCCGAUAUCGGAUUAGCUAGUUGGUGGGGUAAAGGCCCACCAAGGCGACGAUCCGUAGCUGGUUUGAGAGGACGACCAGCCACACUGGUACUGAGACACGGCCCAGACUCCUACGGGAGGCAGCAGUGGGGAAUUUUGGACAAUGGGGGCAACCCUGAUCCAGCCAUCCCGCGUGUGCGAUGAAGGCCUUCGGGUUGUAAAGCACUUUUGGCAGGAAAGAAAUCGCACGGGCUAAUACCUCGUGUGGAUGACGGUACCUGCAGAAUAAGCACCGGCUAACUACGUGCCAGCCGCCGCGGUAA